rnacentral:rRNA from 1 species
UACAGAGGUGGCAAGCGUUGUUCGGAAUUACUGGGCGUAAAGGGCGCGUAGGCGGUCCGAUAAGUCCCGUGUGAAAGCCCCCGGCUCAACUGGGGAACUGCACGGGAAACUGACGGACUUGAGUUCGGGAGAGGGAAGCGGAAUUCCGGGUGUAGCGGUGAAAUGCGUAGAUAUCCGGAGGAACACCGGUGGCGAAGGCGGCUUCCUGGACCGACACUGACGCUGAGGCGCGAAAGCUAGGGGAGCAAACGGG